AUUAUUUUGUAGUUUAUAAGUGUGAUGACUGGGUGUUCAUGCACAGGUGUGAGAUGUGCCACCCUGGAACCUUGUUACAAUGUUAGCACAUUACCCAUCAGACA